rnacentral:rRNA from 1 species
CCUACGGGUGGCAGCAGUCGAGAAUCAUUCACAAUGGGGGAAACACUGAUGGAGCGACGCCGCGUGGGGGAAUGAAGGUCUUCGGAUUGUAAACCCCUGUCAUGUGGGAGCAAAUUAAAAAGAUAGUACCACAAGAGGAAGAGACGGCUAACUCUGUGCCAGCAGCCGCGGUAAUACAGAGGUCUCAAGCGUUGUUCGGAAUCACUGGGCGUAAAGCGUGCGGAGGAUGUUUCGUACGUCGGGUGUGAAAGGCGCGGGCUCAACCCGCGGACGGCACAUGAUACUGCGAGACUAGAGUAAUGGGGGGGGAACCGGAAUUCGCGGUGUAGCAGUGAAAUGCUUAGAUAUCGAGAGGAACACUCGUGGCGAAGGCGGGUUCCUGGACAUUUACUGACGCUGAGGCACGAAGGCCAGGGGAGCGAAAGGGAUUAGAUACCCCGGUAGUC